rnacentral:tRNA from 1 species
AGCUCAGUCGGUAGAGCAUGGGACUCUUAAUCCCAGGGUUGUGGGUUCAUGCCCCAC